GCUGGGGUUGUAGCUCAGUGGUAGAGCACUUGUCUAGCACAUAUGAGGCAUUGGGUUCAAUUCUCAGCACAGCA
rnacentral:tRNA from 1 species